rnacentral:pre_miRNA from 1 species
UGGAUGACUCUGUUAAGCUCAGGAGGGAUAGCGCCACCAAUGAUUAGUGAUAAUUAUUAUUUGUUUGUGAGUUAAUCUCACCAAAAAAAAAAAAAUUCUAAUCAUUAAUCUGUGGCGCUAUCCAUCGUGAGUUUCACAGGUUCUUCCU